rnacentral:rRNA from 1 species
GGCUCUUUGUGGUAUAUAUCUACAUAAAUAAAGAGUCGGACCUGCCCAGUGACUUAUAGUUAAACGGCCGCGGUACCCUGACCGUGCAAAGGUAGCAUAAUCAUUUGCCUUUUUAUUGGAGGCUUGUAUGAAUGGUUUGACGAGAGCUAAGCUGUCUCCUUAGAAAUAUUUAAAAAUUAACUUUUAGGUGAAGAGGCCUAAAUUUGUUUAAGGGACAAGAAGACCCUAUUGAGCUUUAGUGACAUUAAUGAAUUAUUUAAUAAGUUAAUUGAUUGCAUUUAUUUGUAAAUUAAAUUUGUUAUUAAUCUUUAGUUGGGGCGACUGAGGAACUGAGUAAGCUUCCUUGAAUUUUGUUUGUACAUAUAGGCAGACUAGCUAUAAGGGAUCCAGUAUUGUAAUACUGAUUAAGGGAAAAAGUUACCAUAGGGAUAACAGCGUAAUCUUUCUGGAGAGUUCUUAUCGAAAGAAGGGUUUGCGACCUCGAUGUUGGACUAAGGUAUCCCGGAGGUGUAGAAGCUUCCAACGGUUGGUC